AAUGAACCAGCUGCAGAGGAUGGCGUCCGUGGACACGGACAAGGAGCUCAGUAACCUCCAGGACUUCAGCAUGAUGUUCCCGCUGCCUGUCGCCAACGGGAAGGGCCAGCCCACCUCCCUGGCCGGGUCGCAAUUCAGAGGUUCAGGUCUUGAGGACCGGCCCAGCUCAGGCUCCUGGAGCAGCGGCGACCAGAACAGCUCCUCCUUUGACCCCAGCUGGACCUUCAGCGAAGGCGCUCACCUUGCUGAGUCGCAUAGCAGCCUCUCUUCAUCCACAUUCCUGAGACUGUGACUUGGAGGCAAGAGCAGCGAGCUGGACGCCUAUGCCUCCUUUGGGAGAGACGCAGGCGUGGGCGGCCUGACUCAGGCUGGCUUCCUGCCAGACGAGCUGGCCUUCAGCACCCCCGGACCCCUGUUCCCUUCGGGCAUGAAGGCGACCUCCCAGUACUACCCCUCCUACGCCGGCAGCUCCGGCGGAGAGAGGCGGACGGCGGCCUGGACACGCAGUCCACAAAGGUCCAGAAGGUCCCGCCUGUCUUCCAUCCUCGGCAUACCUGCCCAGCUCAGGUGAGGACUACGGUAGGGAUGCUGCCGCCUACCUGUUCGCCAAGACCCCCAGCAGGGCCUAUCCCGCCCCCUUCUACAUGGCAGAUGGCAGCCUGCACCCCUCAGCCCCUCAGCUGAGGUCUGGAGUUCCCUGGGCCAGGCGGGCUUUGGCCCCAUGCUGGGCGGGGGCUCAUCCCCCCCGCCUCUCCUGCCUGGCAGCGGCCCUGUGGGCAGUGGCAGAGGCAGCAGCACGUUUGGUGGCCUGCACCAGCAUGAGCGCAUGGGCUACCAGCUGCACAGAGCAGAGGUGAAAGGCGGGCUCCCGGCUGCAUCCACCUUCUCCUUGGCCCCCUGGAGCCGCGUACGGCAGUGUCUCUAGCCACAGGCCGCCUGUCAGCGGGGCCGACAGCCUCCUGGGCUCGCGAGGGACCACAACCAGCAGCUCCGGGGACGCCCUCAGGCAGGCAUGUCCUCAAUCUACUCCCAGGAUCACUCAAGCAGUAACUUCUCGUCCAGCUCCUCCACUGCUGUGGGAUCCCCCCAGGGCCUGGGAGGGACGUCACGCUGGCCUGGAGCAGGAGUCCCCGGUGCCUUAUCACCCAGCUAGGACAGGGGUCUCUAUGGCCUGCAGAGUAAGAUAGAAGACCACCUGAACAAGGCCAUCCACGUGCUCUGCAGCCACACCGUGGGCACGGCCUGCAACGGGCACACGCUGCUGCCCGGCGACAGGGUGCUGGCCUUGGGCUUCGCCGGCCCCAUGCUGCUGGUGGGGGCAGCACGCAGGCCUGGUUGGAGGCUGACACCCUGAGGAUGGCCCUGUGGGCAGCGCCAGCCUCAUGCAUAUCCACGUGGCUCUCUCCAGCUAGCCAGGCGCCCUCCCCGACCUCUCUUGGCCUCCCGACUCCUACAGUGGGCUAGGGCAAGCAGGCCACUGGUGAAAUCAAGCCAGAGGAGGAGGAUGAGGAGAACACGGCGGAGGCUGACCACUCAAGAGGAGAAGAAGGAGCUGAAGGACCAUCAGGUCCAGACCAGCCCAGAGGAGGACGAGGACAAAGAUGACCUUCUCCCCCCAGAGCAGAAGGCCAAGCAGGAGAAGGAGUGCCAGGUGGCCAAUAACGCCAGGGAGUGACUGUGAGUCCCCUAAGAGGCCUUUUAAGGAGCUGGGGCACAUGUGGCAACUGCACUCAACAGCGAAAAGCCCCAGACCAAACUGCUUAUCCUGCACCAGGCCGUCUCGGUCAUGCUGAACUUGGAGCAGCAAGUGCGAGAGCGGAACGUGAAUCCCAAAACAGCCUGUUUGAAACGGUGAGGUGUCGGCCGUGUUCGGAGACCCCCAGAUGGUGCUUUCAGCUGCGCACCUGGGCCUGAGCGAAGCCCACAACCCCGCCGGGCACAUGUGAAAGGUACGCCUCUGUGGUUCAAGCCACUGGCCCUCAGCCCUGUGGGCUGGGCCCAGAACGCCCACUGGAGGCCCUGGGCUUCAUCCACAUCCACACCUCACACAACUGUUCUCAGCAUUGAGCCAACACCGUCCUGAUUAGGCUCGGAGUGAUUGGGGCAAGAAGGUGACUCUGGAUCCAGGAGCUCCCUGGGACCCUGGCUCACCUCUCACUGGCCUCACUCCCCCUGCCCCCAAAUCUCAGCCACCGUGUCACCCUGUGACCUGCCCCAUGGAUCCUGAAUCUGCGUCUUGGCCCUGUUGUCUGGGCUGACAGGAGCAUUUCUUUUCUUUUUUUUUGUUUUUCAGUAAACAAAACCUGAAAGCAAGUAACAGAACAUACACUUUGUCAGAAAAGAAAAAAAAUGCCUUAACUAUAAAAUGUGGAGACAUCAUAUCGCUUGAGGUCGAGAUGCUGUGAAAACUUGGCUUAUUCUUCAAAAGCCAGCAGCAAAUCGUGCCUAGGCAUAAUUUAAAGAAAAUGAAAAGAACAUUAGUUAUCAAAAAAAAAAAAAAAAAAAAACUGGACUGACCUGGGCCAGGUGGGACCAGACUGGCCUAGAGGACUUCAGAGGGCAACUCCCCUGGUAGGCCAGUCUCAGCUGACCUUGACUGUCCUGCUUCCAGACAGGGCCCAUCUGUCUUCCCCUUGAUCCCCUGCUGCAAAGACAUUACCUCCGAUGCCACCUCUAUGACCCCGGGCUGCCUGGCCACAGGGUACUUCCUGAAGCUGGUGACUGUGACCUGGGACACAGGCUACCUCAACAGGAGUGCUGUGACCUUCCCAGACACCACCCUCACACCCUCUGGCCACUACGCCACCACCAGCCAUCUGACCACAAGCAAAUGUUCACCUGCAGCGUGGUACACACUCUGUGGUCUGCAGGCCAGGUCAGUACCUUCAGUGUCUACUCUAGGGACUUCACCCUGCCCACCAUGAAGAUCUUACAGUCCUCCUGUGAUGGCAGUGGACACUUCCCCCCGACCAUCCAGUUCCUGUGCCUCAUUUUUGAGUACACCCCAGGUGCCAUCACCUGGCUGCAGGAUGGGCAGGUCGCGGAUGUGAACUGCUCUGUCACCUCUCCCAUGCUGAAGGGGGAGCUGGCCUCCACACAAAGCAAGCUCACCCUCACCCAGAAGCGUUGGCUGCCUGACCACACCUACACCUGCCAGGUCACCUAUCAAGGUAAUGCCUUUGAGGACAGUGCCAAGAAGCGUGCAGAUUUCAACCCGCAAGGGGUGAGUGCCUACCUGAGCUGGCCCGGUUGCUUCUACCUGUUCAUCCGCAAGUUGCCCACAAUCACCUGUCUGGUGGUGGACCUGGCACCUAGCAAGGGGACUGUGAAGCUGACCUGGUCCCGGGCCAGUGGGAAGUCUGUGGCCCAGGUCCUCCUAAGGCAAGAGAAGCAGUGCAGUGGCACGUUCAUCAUCACGUCCACUCUGCUGGUGGGUACCAGAGACUGGAUCGAGGGGGAGACCUACCAGUGCAGGGUGACCCACCUCCACCUGCCCAGGGCCCUUGUGCAGUCCAUGACCAAGAUCAGCCACCCUUGUGCUCCCCCCGAGGUCUACGUGUUUGCAAUGCUAGAAGAGCCGAGGAACCUAGACAAGUGCACCCUCACCUGCCUGAUCCAGAACUUCUAGCCUAAGGACAUCUUGGUGCAGUAGCUGCACAACGAGGUGCAGCUCCUAGAUGCCUGGCACAGCAUGACGCAGCCCCGCAAAACCAAGGGCUCUGGCUUCUUAGUCUUCAGCUGCCUGGAGGUGACCAGGGCUGAAUGGGAACAGAAAAAUGAGUUCAUCUGCCCCGUGGUCCAUGAGAUGGCGACUGGCUCACAGACUAUCAAGAAGCUAGUGGCUACAAAUCCCAUUAAAUGUCCUCCUGCCUUCCUCCCCACUAGGGCUCUGUCCAGCUGUGUGGUGGGAAGGGCUGGCCAGACCUUCUGUCCACUGUUGCAAUGACCCCAGGAGGCCACCCCCAAUAAACAGUGCGUGCUCAGAAACAAACAAACAAACAAACAUAAAAACCCUAGAAGAAAACCUAGGCAAUACCAUUCAGGACAUCGGCAUGGACAAAUACUUCAUGACUAAAACACCAAAGGCAAUGGCAAC